rnacentral:rRNA from 1 species
GACGAACGCUGGCGGCGUGCUUAACACAUGCAAGUCGAGCGGUAAGGCCCUUUCGGGGGUACGACGAGCGGCGAACGGGUGAGUAACACGUGGGUGACCUGCCCUUAGCUCUGGGAUAAGCCUGGGAAACCGGGUCUAAUACCGGAUAUGACUCCAUGACGCAUGUUGUGGGGUGGAAAGCCUUGUGCGGCUAGGGAUGGGCCCGCGGCCUAUCAGCUUGUUGGUGGGGUGAUGGCCACCAAGGCGACGACGGGUAGCCGGCCUGAGAGGGCGACCGGCCACACUGGGACUGAGACACGGCCCAGACUCCUACGGGAGGCAGCAGUGGGGAAUCUUGCGCAAUGGGCGAAAGCCUGACGCAGCGACGCCGCGUGGGGACGACGCC